UGACACAGGGAGGUAGUGACAAGAAAUAACAAUACGGGGCUCAACGCCUUGUAAUUGGAAUGAUGGGAACCUAAACCCCUUCCAGAGUAUCAAUUGGAGGGCAAGUCUGGUGCCAGCAGCCGCGGUAAUUCCAGCUCCAAUAGCGUAUAUUAAAAUUGUUGCAGUUAAAAAGCUCGUAGUUGAAUUUCUGCCGCAUCGCCGCGGCCCUCCCGGGCCCAGCGUUGCGGCUUAUUUCCGACUCGCUUGCGUCUCCUAAUG
rnacentral:rRNA from 1 species